GGGGGAGUAUGAUCGCAAGAUUGAAACUUAAAGGAAUUGACGGAAGGGCACCACCAGGAGUGGAGCCUGCGGCUUAAUUUGACUCAACACGGGGAAACUCACCAGGUCCAGACAUGGGAAGGAUUGACAGAUUGACAGCUCUUUCUUGAUUCCAAGGGAGGUGGUGCAUGGCCGUCCAGCUUUUGUUGUGAAAUCUCUGUUUGAUUACGGUAAACGGCGAGACCUUGACUUGCUGAUUGGUGUGCGCCUGCGUUAGCAGGCGUUGGAGAUUACGCGCAAGCGUGUCUCUGCGACACACCACUCAGAGGGACACUCGGCGUUGCUAUUGAGCGUAAGCCGAAGGAAGUUUGAGGCGAUAACAGGUCUGUGAUGCCCUUAGAUGUUCUGGGCUGCACGCGCGCUACACUGACGGGGGCAGCGAGUAUGCUUUGGGUGUUUGUGGUGGGGAGCGUGAAAGCGCUUUUCUACGACAGACAUCUAUUCCUGCGCUGGAAGGCGUGGGGACUCUUGUGAAAACCCGUCGUGCUGGGGAUAGAUGCUUGCAAUUAUUCAUCUUGAACGAGGAAUUCCUAGUAAGCGCAAUUCAACAGAUUGCGUUGAUUACGUCCCUGCCCUUUGUACACACCGCCCGUCGCUACUACCGAUUGAAUGGUUUAGUGAGGCCUCGGGAUUGGCGCGUGGGCGCUGGCAACAGCUGCCCAUGUCAUCUUUUGCUGAGAACCUGGUCAAACUUGAUCAUUUAGAGGAAGUAAAAGUCGUAACAAGGUUUCCGUAGGUGAACCUGCGGAAG
rnacentral:ncRNA from 1 species